rnacentral:tRNA from 1 species
GCCUCGGUGGCGGAAUAGGUAGACGCGUCGGACUUAAAAUCCGAUUGGUAUUUAAAUGCCAGUGCCGGUUCGAGCCCGGCCCGAGGUACAA